rnacentral:misc_RNA from 1 species
AUAAAUAAUUAAUUAAUUAAUUAAGCUACAUUUAAGUUAAUGUUUUAUCUUUUUCAAUAACACAGAUAAAGACGAGUAACAAGUCUUUUAGCUUGGAGUUAUUUAACUUAGAAUCGUUUGGUGUAUUGAUGAUUAUUUAAAUCUGUUGGGUGCAUAUUUGUUCAACACAGUUCACUAUGUGCAAUUCUUGCCUACAAGGAGACUGUUGGGGUCUAAACUAAGGCGGUAGUUUAUAAAAAUGAUCUUUAUUAGACAGCCCUCCUAGAUUUUG